rnacentral:rRNA from 1 species
CAGUCUCCGCGGUAAUACAGAGGGUGCGAGCGUUAAUCGGAUUUACUGGGCGUAAAGCGUGCGUAGGCGGCUUUUUAAGUCGGAUGUGAAAUCCCUGAGCUUAACUUAGGAAUUGCAUUCGAUACUGGGAAGCUAGAGUAUGGGAGAGGAUGGUAGAAUUCCAGGUGUAGCGGUAAAAUGCGUAGAGAUCUGGAGGAAUACCGAUGGCGAAGGCAGCCAUCUGGCCUAAUACUGACGCUGAGGUACGAAAGCAUGGGGAGCAAACAGGAUUAGAUACCCCCGUAGUCCCUGUCUCUUAUAC